UGGGGAAUAUUGCACAAUGGGCGAAAGCCUGAUGCAGCAACGCCGCGUGAGUGAUGAAGGUCUUCGGAUUGUAAAGCUCUGUCUUUUGGGACGAUAAUGACGGUACCAAAGGAGGAAGCCACGGCUAACUACGUGCCAGCAGCCGCGGUAAUACGUAGGUGGCGAGCGUUGUCCGGAUUUACUGGGCGUAAAGGGUGCGUAGGCGGAUGUUUAAGUGAGAUGUGAAAUACCCGGGCUUAACUUGGGUGCUGCAUUUCAAACUGGAUAUCUAGAGUGCAGGAGAGGAGAAUGGAACUCCUAGUGUAGCGGUGAAAUGCGUAGAGAUUAGGAAGAACACCAGUGGCGAAGGCGAUUCUCUGGACUGUAACUGACGCUGAGGCACGAAAGCGUGGGUAGCAAACAGGAUUAGAUACCCUGGUAGUCCACGCCGUAAACGAUGAGUACUAGGUGUAGGAGGUAUCGACCCCUUCUGUGCCGCAGUAAACACAUUAAGUACUCCGCCUGGGGAAGUACGAUCGCAAGAUUAAAACUCUAAAGUGAAUUGACGGGGUC
rnacentral:rRNA from 1 species